rnacentral:rRNA from 1 species
CCUACGGGUGGCAGCAGUGAGGAAUAAUGGUCAAUGGACGAGAGUCUGAACCAGCCAAGUAGCGUGAAGGAUGACUGCCCUAUGGGUUGUAAACUUCUUUUAUAAAGGAAUAAAACGAGGCACGUGUGCCUUUUUGCAUGUACUUUAUGAAUAAGGAUCGGCUAACUCCGUGCCAGCAGCCGCGGUAAUACGGAGGAUCCGAGCGUUAUCCGGAUUUAUUGGGUUUAAAGGGAGCGUAGAUGGGUUGUUAAGUCAGUUGUGAAAGUUUGCGGCUCAACCGUAAAAUUGCAAUUGAUACUGGCAGUCGUGAGUACAGUUGAGGUAGGCGGAAUUCGUGGUGUAGCGGUGAAAUGCUUAGAUAUCACGAAGAACCCCGAUUGCGAAGGCAGCUUACUAAACUGUGACUGACAUUGAUGCUCGAAAGUGUGGGUAUCAAACAGGAUUAGAUACCCUAGUAGUC